UACGGAAGGCAGCAGUGGGGAAUAUUGCACAAUGGGCGCAAGCCUGAUGCAGCCAUGCCGCGUGUAUGAAAAAGGCCUUCGGGUUGUAAAGUACUUUCAGUCGUGAGGAGGUGUUAAGGUUAAUAACCUUAGCAAUUGACGUUAGCGACAGAAGAAGCACCGGCUAACUCCGUGCCAGCAGCCGCGGUAAUACGGAGGGUGCGAGCGUUAAUCGGAAUUACUGGGCGUAAAGGGCACGCAGGCGGUUAAUUAAGUUGGAUGUGAAAUCCCCGGGCUUAACCUGGGAAUGGCAUUCAAGACUGGUUAGCUAGAGUCUUGUAGAGGGGGUAGAAUUCCAUGUGUAGCGGUGAAAUGCGUAGAGAUGUGGAGGAAUACCGGUGGCGAAGGCGGCCCCUGGACAAAGACUGACGCUCAUGUGCGAAAGCGUGGGGAGCAAACAGGGAUUAGAUACC
rnacentral:rRNA from 1 species